AAGAAAAGAGAGCAAAAUACUCCCCCCACCAAGACCAAAAGCUCUCGGCCCAAGCUAAAACAAGGAAGAAAGAAAAAUCAUUUCACCUAGCUCCACUCCAAGAACAAUUCAAGGAUAAAUCAUAGAGCUUCCUAGGAUCAUCACUAAGUUCAAGAUCAAGCUUAUUAAGGAUCAACCAAGCUCAAAUGAAGGUUCUCAGUGACCCUAGCACCCUUACCAAGCUUCAACAAGAUCACCGGACCUAUUUGCAAUCUCGCACCCACCCCAAGACUACAGGCAAGUUUUCGAACCUUAAACUUUUGAAAUAUGUUG